ACUCAAAGGAAUAGACGGGGACCCGCACAAGCGGUGGAUGAUGUGGAUUAAUUCGAUGCAACGCGAAGAACCUUACCUACCCUUGACAUGUACGGAAGCUCAUCGAGAGGUGAGUGUGCCCGAAAGGGAGCCGUAACACAGGUGCUGCAUGGCUGUCGUCAGCUCGUGUCGUGAGAUGUUGGGUUAAGUCCCGCAACGAGCGCAACCCUUGUCCCUAGUUGCUACGCAAGGGCACUCUAGGGAGACUGCCGGUGACAAACCGGAGGAAGGUGGGGAUGACGUCAAGUCCUCAUGGCCCGUAUGGGUAGGGCCUCACACGUCAUACAAUGGCCGGUACAGAGGGUUGCGAAGCCGCGAGGUGAAGCCAAUCCCAGAAAGCCGGUCGUAGUCCGGAUUGAAGUCUGCAACUCGACUUCAUGAAGUCGGAAUCGCUAGUAAUCGCGGAUCAGCAUGUCGCGGUGAAUACGUUCCCGGGUCUUGCACACACCGCCCGU
rnacentral:rRNA from 1 species